rnacentral:rRNA from 1 species
GAUGAACGCUGGCGGCGUGCUUAACACAUGCAAGUCGAACGGUGAACACGGAGCUUGCUCUGUGGGAUCAGUGGCGAACGGGUGAGUAACACGUGAGCAACCUGCCCCUGACUCUGGGAUAAGCGCUGGAAACGGCGUCUAAUACUGGAUAUGUGACGUGACCGCAUGGUCUGCGUUUGGAAAGAUUUUUCGGUUGGGGAUGGGCUCGCGGCCUAUCAGCUUGUUGGUGAGGUAAUGGCUCACCAAGGCGUCGACGGGUAGCCGGCCUGAGGGGGUGACCGGCCACACUGGGACUGAGGCACGGCCCAGACUCCUACGGGAGGCAGCAGUGGGGAAUAUUGCACAAUGGGCGCAAGCCUGAUGCAACAACGCCGCGUGAGGGAUGACGGCCUUCGGGUUGUAAACCUCUUUUAGCAGGGAAGAAGCGAAAGUGACGGUACCUGCAGAAAAAGCGCCGGCUAACUACGUG